GCACUCUACCUGUUACGUAGGGGGCGUGGCCAGCGACUGUUGUUACUGCGGCUUCAUCCAAAGAGAAAAGAGACACUGAGCGAAACAGGGCGACACUCUCCUCACAAUAGUUGUGUUUUUGGUCAGUAAGCGGAUAUUUUGUGACAGCACGCAGCCGAGCCGAUGUUGGCCAUUGUUCUAAACAGGACGGUAUGUGAGCUGAGAGAGGAUGAGCUGAGUCCUGAUGAUCCAGAGGUUGAAUCAGCAGCAGCUUGUGUGUAGAGAGACUCUGACUGGACCAUGUUACUGGGAGGUGGAGUCAAGAGGAGAGCUUCAUCCACAUGUUUCUCCAUGUCAGACCAGUGGUGUCGUCUAUGUGAUACGCAGCGUUCACUUUUGGACCAUGGGGGCUUCCGUCAAGCGUGACGUGGACCUGACGUUAACUACUAAGGAAGCAGUGAAGUUGUGCGGCGGGAACGAGUCGACAACUUGAACUGGUCCAACGUUCGUCAGUGGGGAAGGAAUGUGGAGAAAAAACAAUGAGAAGAAAGAAAAGGAAGCCCAGUGACACUAUUUGAGAUGGUAGGGAAGGAGAGCUGAUGACGCUGUCGUCCUACCUGGUUGUGUAUCUGCACUGCAACAAAAUCCACUGGCGUCCUCACAGAGGAAAGGGCGUCUACAUCUGAGGAGUGGGUGUCCUUUAAAAUCCAGUCCUCAGACACAAACCACAAACAGCUCUAGGUCCUUUUUCUUUAUUUGAAUCUUAUUUGUCUUAUCACUGUCUGUUCAGUGGUUAAUUAAAGUCCAGCUGUUCAUGUCUGUUAUACAUCUUGUGUUGCUUCCAAUACAUUUACAUUCAGAUAAUACAUAACCAGUCUUUCAUGACCUCAGUUAUGUGUGGAUCCAGACUUUAUGCAUUAAUGAGCCUGGUGGUUCUUGUGUGGGGCCGUUUUGGAGCAGCUGCUGCUCUGGGAGGGGGGCUGCAGGACAGAUGUUGCUCCAGGACGGGGGUGUACGAGGCUGGGAGGGGAACAAUCAGAGUAUACCCACUAGAAUAAACUAGACUACACCACUGUUUAAGACCAUCAACAGAACUGCAACCAAACUACUCUAACAGUACCAACACAUGAAGUCCAGUUCCUCUUGAAUUAUUCAGACACAUU